GAUGAAGAACGCAGCGAAAUGCGAUAAGUAGUGUGAAUUGCAGAAUUCAGUGAAUCAUCGAAUCUUUGAACGCACAUUGCGCCCCUUGGUAUUCCAUGGGGCAUGCCUGUUCGAGCGUCAUUUGUACCUUCAAGCUCUGCUUGGUGUUGGGUGUUUGUCUCGCCUCUGCGUGUAGACUCGCCUUAAAACAAUUGGCAGCCGGCGUAUUGAUUUCGGAGCGCAGUACAUCUCGCGCUUUGCACUCAUAACGACGACGUCCAAAAGUACAUUUUUACACUCUUGACCUCGGAUCAGGUAGGAUUACCCGCUGAACUUAAGCAUAUCAAUAAGCGGAGGA
rnacentral:misc_RNA from 1 species